UGUCUCCUUCCUGCGGCUCCAAAGAGACAAAGAGAUAGAAAGAGAGAGCUUGGUGAGAGAGUUCUUCUUUGGUUUAUUCUUCUCUUCUCUUCUCUUGUUCUUCCUUUAUUCUUCAUGUAUCUCGGGUUAUGUUUAUAACAGAGAGAUAGAGAGAGAUGUGAGCACAAUCUACUUGAAGAGUACACUUGUAAUCUCAUUGAUAAAAAGGGGCUUGGUUGAGGGACCGUCUCCCCUCUCCUGAGAUGUAGGCUUCUCACAUCGAGAGCUGAACUCAGGGUGAACAAAAAAGCUUGUGUGUUCUUUCUUUAUGCUUAUUGCUUGAUGCAGAAUUGUGAGUGCAUGUUUGGUUUAAUGUGAAAUCGAGCAUAGAUUUAGUAACAUGGUGUUCACUUGUAUCAGUUUUAAUUAGGUGAGUUAAAUUUUUGUUUUUUGAAUGAUAGGCUGCUAGAUACAGUGAUACUGAUGAUCUCAGAUCAUUGGCCUCUUAUGGUGUCUCUCUUGACUCUCUUGAUUCACAAGGCCGAACAGGUUUCUUCUACAUUCUCUUUUUGUUCUAAAGUUCCAAUUUUUCAAGUUAAUAGAUAAGAUUCUUAAACUCUUGCUCAGACACUUGCAAUGUAUAGGAAAAUUUGGAAUAAAUGAUGCCUAAAAAGGGUUCAUUUGGCUCAUUUCAUCUCGUGAAAUAUUGGUUACUGUUUUCUGGCUUAGUAACAUAUGUUGGUGUUCUUACUCUUAUCCUUGUAUAUUCGGAUACUCAGAUUAAGGAGUUUGAAAUGUAUGGUUAACUCUGUGAACAUUGUUUCUUUUUAUCUUUUACUUGUCUUCACAAGCUGCAUAUGGUUGCGGCGUAUAACUGUAGUGGAGUAUCUUAUCAGUGAAGGAGUGGUAAAAAACAACAACCCUUGCUAAUUUUUAUGCCUUGACGAUGUAAUUUCUGGUCUUCUAUCGAGAGAUUAUUGUGGCUUUGUUAUGGUCAGCAGGAUAUUAAUGCUCUUAACGAUGAGAACAAUGCUCCUCUACAUUGGGCAUGUUUG
rnacentral:lncRNA from 1 species